CCUACGGGAGGCAGCAGUGAGGAAUAUUGGUCAAUGGACGCAAGUCUGAACCAGCCAUGCCGCGUGCAGGAUGACUGCCCUAUGGGUUGUAAACUGCUUUUAUAUGGGAAUAAACCUCUUUACGUGUAGAGAGCUGAAGGUACCAUAUGAAUAAGCACCGGCUAACUCCGUGCCAGCAGCCGCGGUAAUACGGAGGGUGCAAGCGUUAUCCGGAAUCAUUGGGUUUAAAGGGUCCGCAGGCGGAAUUAUAAGUCAGUGGUGAAAUCUCAUAGCUUAACUAUGAAACUGCCAUUGAUACUGUAGUUCUUGAAUGUGGUCGAAGUGGGCGGAAUAUGACAUGUAGCGGUGAAAUGCAUAGAUAUGUCAUAGAACACCGAUAGCGAAGGCAGCUCACUAGGCCAUAAUUGACGCUCAUGGACGAAAGCGUGGGGAGCAAACAGGA
rnacentral:rRNA from 1 species